UAGUGAGUGUCCAAGAUAGAGGUGUG
rnacentral:piRNA from 1 species